AACGAACGCUGGCGGCAUGCCUAACACAUGCAAGUCGAACGAGACCUUCGGUCUAGUGGCGCACGGGUGCGUAACGCGUGGGAAUCUGCCCUUGGGUUCGGAAUAACAGUUAGAAAUGACUGCUAAUACCGGAUAAUGUCUUCGGACCAAAGAUUUAUCGCCCAGGGAUGAGCCCGCGUAGGAUUAGCUAGUUGGUGAGGUAAAGGCUCACCAAGGCGACGAUCCUUAGCUGGUCUGAGAGGAUGAUCAGCCACACUGGGACUGAGACACGGCCCAGACUCCUACGGGAGGCAGCAGUGGGGAAGUAUUGGACAAUGGCGGAAAGACCGUGAUCCAGCAAUAGCCGCCGUGGAGU
rnacentral:rRNA from 1 species